UACGUAGGGUGCAAGCGUUGUCCGGAAUUAUUGGGCGUAAAGAGCUCGUAGGCGGUCUGUCGCGUCGGCUGUGAAAACUCGGGGCUCAACUCCGAGCUUGCAGUCGAUACGGGCAGGCUAGAGUUCGGCAGGGGAGACUGGAAUUCCUGGCGUAGCGGUGAAAUGCGCAGAUAUCGGGAAGAACACCCGUGGCGAAGGCGGCUCUCUGGGACGGUACUGACGCUGAGACGCGAAAGCGUGGGGAGCGAACAGG
rnacentral:rRNA from 1 species